rnacentral:rRNA from 1 species
UACGAAGGGAGCUAGCGUUGUUCGGAAUCACUGGGCGUAAAGCGCACGUAGGCGGAUGUGUCAGUCAGGGGUGAAAUCCCGGAGCUCAACUUCGGAACUGCCUUUGAUACAGCACAUCUGGAGUCCGGAAGAGGUGGGUGGAAUUCCUAGUGUAGAGGUGAAAUUCGUAGAUAUUAGGAAGAACACCGGUGGCGAAAGGCGGCCCCACUGGUCCGGGUACUGACGCUGAGGUGCGAAAGCGUGGGGGAGCAAACAGG